GCCUUGGUGGUGUAAUGGUCAGCACACUGAGCCGGUAUUUCAGAGGUCCGUGGUUCGAUCCCCAGCGAAGGCA
rnacentral:tRNA from 1 species